rnacentral:rRNA from 1 species
AUUGAACGCUGGCGGCAGGCCUAACACAUGCAAGUCGAACGAGUGGCGGACGGGUGCGUAAUGUCUGGGAAACUGCCCGAUGGAGGGGGAUAACUACUGGAAACUGUAGCUAAUACCGCAUACCAUCGGAUGUGCCCAGAUGGGAUUAGCUAGUAGGUGCGGUAAAGGCUCCCCUAGGCGACGAGCCCUAGCUGGGCUGAGAAGAGGACCAUCCACACGGAGACUGAGACACUGUCCAGUCUCCUACGGGAGGCAGAGGUGGGGAAUGUGGCACAAGGGGCGAAAUCCUGAUGCAGACAUGCCGCGGGUAUGAAGAAGGCCUUGGGGUUUUAAAGUACUUGCAGCGGGGAGGCGUUACCCGAAGAAGAAGCACCGGCUAACUCCGUGCCAGCAGCCGCGGUAAUAC